GGGUUGUGAGGUUAAGCGACUAAGCGUACACGGUGGAUGCCCUGGCAGUCAGAGGCGAUGAAGGACGUGCUAAUCUGCGAUAAGCGUCGGUAAGGUGAUAUGAACCGUUAUAACCGGCGAUUUCCGAAUGGGGAAACCCAGUGUGUUUCGACACACUAUCAUUAACUGAAUCCAUAGGUUAAUGAGGCGAACCGGGGGAACUGAAACAUCUAAGUACCCCGAGGAAAAGAAAUCAACCGAGAUUCCCCCAGUAGCGGCGAGCGAACGGGGAGCAGCCCAGAGCCUGAAUCAGUGUGUGUGUUAGUGGAAGCGUCUGGAAAGGCGCGCGAUACAGGGUGACAGCCCCGUACACAAAAAUGCACAUAUUGUGAGCUCGAUGAGUAGGGCGGGACACGUGGUAUCCUGUCUGAAUAUGGGGGGACCAUCCUCCAAGGCUAAAUACUCCUGACUGACCGAUAGUGAACCAGUACCGUGAGGGAAAGGCGAAAAGAACCCCGGCGAGGGGAGUGAAAAAGAACCUGAAACCGUGUACGUACAAGCAGUGGGAGCCUCUUUAUGGGGUGACUGCGUACCUUUUGUAUAAUGGGUCAGCGACUUAUAUUCUGUAGCAAGGUUAACCGAAUAGGGGAGCCGAAGGGAAACCGAGUCUUAACUGGGCGUUAAGUUGCAGGGUAUAGACCCGAAACCCGGUGAUCUAGCCAUGGGCAGGUUGAAGGUUGGGUAACACUAACUGGAGGACCGAACCGACUAAUGUUGAAAAAUUAGCGGAUGACUUGUGGCUGGGGGUGAAAGGCCAAUCAAACCGGGAGAUAGCUGGUUCUCCCCGAAAGCUAUUUAGGUAGCGCCUCGUGAAUUCAUCUCCGGGGGUAGAGCACUGUUUCGGCAAGGGGGUCAUCCCGACUUACCAACCCGAUGCAAACUGCGAAUACCGGAGAAUGUUAUCACGGGAGACACACGGCGGGUGCUAACGUCCGUCGUGAAGAGGGAAACAACCCAGACCGCCAGCUAAGGUCCCAAAGUCAUGGUUAAGUGGGAAACGAUGUGGGAAGGCCCAGACAGCCAGGAUGUUGGCUUAGAAGCAGCCAUCAUUUAAAGAAAGCGUAAUAGCUCACUGGUCGAGUCGGCCUGCGCGGAAGAUGUAACGGGGCUAAACCAUGCACCGAAGCUGCGGCAGCGACACUAUGUGUUGUUGGGUAGGGGAGCGUUCUGUAAGCCUGUGAAGGUGUGCUGUGAGGUAUGCUGGAGGUAUCAGAAGUGCGAAUGCUGACAUAAGUAACGAUAAAGCGGGUGAAAAGCCCGCUCGCCGGAAGACCAAGGGUUCCUGUCCAACGUUAAUCGGGGCAGGGUGAGUCGACCCCUAAGGCGAGGCCGAAAGGCGUAGUCGAUGGGAAACAGGUUAAUAUUCCUGUACUUGGUGUUACUGCGAAGGGGGGACGGAGAAGGCUAUGUUGGCCGGGCGACGGUUGUCCCGGUUUAAGCGUGUAGGCUGGUUUUCCAGGCAAAUCCGGAAAAUCAAGGCUGAGGCGUGAUGACGAGGCACUACGGUGCUGAAGCAACAAAUGCCCUGCUUCCAGGAAAAGCCUCUAAGCAUCAGGUAACAUCAAAUCGUACCCCAAACCGACACAGGUGGUCAGGUAGAGAAUACCAAGGCGCUUGAGAGAACUCGGGUGAAGGAACUAGGCAAAAUGGUGCCGUAACUUCGGGAGAAGGCACGCUGAUAUGUAGGUGAAGUCCCUUGCGGAUGGAGCUGAAAUCAGUCGAAGAUACCAGCUGGCUGCAACUGUUUAUUAAAAACACAGCACUGUGCAAACACGAAAGUGGACGUAUACGGUGUGACGCCUGCCCGGUGCCGGAAGGUUAAUUGAUGGGGUUAGCGGUAACGCGAAGCUCUUGAUCGAAGCCCCGGUAAACGGCGGCCGUAACUAUAACGGUCCUAAGGUAGCGAAAUUCCUUGUCGGGUAAGUUCCGACCUGCACGAAUGGCGUAAUGAUGGCCAGGCUGUCUCCACCCGAGACUCAGUGAAAUUGAACUCGCUGUGAAGAUGCAGUGUACCCGCGGCAAGACGGAAAGACCCCGUGAACCUUUACUAUAGCUUGACACUGAACAUUGAGCCUUGAUGUGUAGGAUAGGUGGGAGGCUUUGAAGUGUGGACGCCAGUCUGCAUGGAGCCGACCUUGAAAUACCACCCUUUAAUGUUUGAUGUUCUAACGUUGGCCCCUAAUCGGGGUUGCGGACAGUGUCUGGUGGGUAGUUUGACUGGGGCGGUCUCCUCCUAAAGAGUAACGGAGGAGCACGAAGGUUGGCUAAUCCUGGUCGGACAUCAGGAGGUUAGUGCAAUGGCAUAAGCCAGCUUGACUGCGAGCGUGACGGCGCGAGCAGGUGCGAAAGCAGGUCAUAGUGAUCCGGUGGUUCUGAAUGGAAGGGCCAUCGCUCAACGGAUAAAAGGUACUCCGGGGAUAACAGGCUGAUACCGCCCAAGAGUUCAUAUCGACGGCGGUGUUUGGCACCUCGAUGUCGGCUCAUCACAUCCUGGGGCUGAAGUAGGUCCCAAGGGUAUGGCUGUUCGCCAUUUAAAGUGGUACGCGAGCUGGGUUUAGAACGUCGUGAGACAGUUCGGUCCCUAUCUGCCGUGGGCGCUGGAGAACUGAGGGGGGCUGCUCCUAGUACGAGAGGACCGGAGUGGACGCAUCACUGGUGUUCGGGUUGUCAUGCCAAUGGCACUGCCCGGUAGCUAAAUGCGGAAGAGAUAAGUGCUGAAAGCAUCUAAGCACGAAACUUGCCCCGAGAUGAGUUCUCCCUGACCCUUUAAGGGUCCUGAAGGAACGUUGAAGACGACGACGUUGAUAGGCCGGGUGUGUAAGCGCAGCGAUGCGUUGAGCUAACCGGUACUAAUGAACCGUGAGGCUUAACCUUACAACGCCGAAG
rnacentral:rRNA from 1 species